GGGCGAUUAGCUCAGCCUGGUUAGAGCGCGACACUGAUAAUGUCGAGGUCAAUGGUUCAAAUCCAUUAUCGCCCA
rnacentral:tRNA from 1 species